AUUCCUCACUGAUCGUGUUUGAUGAUGUCGUAUGUUUUUGUGCAGAGGACCUACAACAACUGGUUAAAUCAUUGCUUACAGAAUCCGGCAUCUCUCCGAUUUGGCACCAAUUUUGAUGCAUUCGGUAUCUGUCGCACGUUAUUUGCCCUCCCAUCACCGUGUGGGCUUUGCACUGUCAACAUUCUACUAAAAGCGAUCGUACACAAAGUUUACUAUUACUGCGAUGCCUACUUCUAGCCUCGUCAAGUGGAUUUAAUUCUGAAAGUGAAGCAACUUUUAAGAAUAGCAGCAGCAAAACAAGUCCCACCAGAACUGCCUCUUUCCUUGCUGUCAUACAAAACCUCCCCUAGACAGAUACUUGAGUGCAUCUUCAGUUCUCAGACAGCAAGGAGGAGACGUUAUUUAAUUAAGGAUAGUUUCUCAUUUGACUUUUGGACUUUACCGCAACUCCUAGCUGACACAACAUUUUGGAUAUAGCGCUAUUUAUUCUCAGGGACAUAAGAGGAGGUGAAGGACAGGAUAUGAAGCAUCUGAGGAUUCUCCUCCUUCUAGCAGGACUAGUGGGGACAACAUCAGGCCAGAGCACAACAGCAAUAUCCCAAGAUGUUGGCGUCAAUACAACAAAAGCACCUGUCAAGAUAACUUCAGGUCCAAUCAAUGUGACAGCAACAUCAAGACCACCUGUCAAUGUAACCUCAGGUCAAACCAAUGUGACAGCAACAUCAAGACCACCUGUAAACAUAACUUCAGGUCCAAUCAAUGUGACAGCAAUACCAAGACCACCUGCCAGUGUUACUUCAGGUCCAAUCAAUGUGACAGCAACAUCAAGACCACCUGUCAAUGUAACUUCAGGUCCAAUCAAUGUGC